GCCGGUGUAGCUCAGUUGGUAGAGCAGCUCAUUCGUAAUGAGAAGGUCGCGUGUUCGAUUCAUGUCUCCGGCACCA
rnacentral:tRNA from 5 species